AUGAACGCUGGCGGCGUGCUUCACACAUGCAAGUCGAACGAAGCAUUUAAGACAGAUUACUUCGGUUUGAAGUCUUUUAUGACUGAGUGGCGGACGGGUGAGUAACGCGUGGGUAACCUGCCUCAUACAGGGGGAUAGCAGCUGGAAACGGCUGGUAAUACCGCAUAAGCACACAGUACCACAUGGUACAGUGUGAAAAACUCCGGUGGUAUGAGAUGGACCCGCGUCUGAUUAGCUUGUUGGCGGGGUAACGGCCCACCAAGGCGACGAUCAGUAGCCGACCUGAGAGGGUGACCGGCCACAUUGGGACUGAGACACGGCCCAGACUCCUACGGGAGGCAGCAGUGGGGAAUAUUGCACAAUGGAGGAAACUCUGAUGCAGCGACGCCGCGUGAGUGAAGAAGUAGUUCGCUAUGUAAAGCUCUAUCAGCAGGGAAGAUAGUGACGGUACCUGACUAAGAAGCUCCGGCUAAAUACGUG
rnacentral:rRNA from 1 species